rnacentral:rRNA from 1 species
GAUGAACGCUGGCGGCGUGCCUAAUACAUGCAAGUAGAACGCUGAAGGAGGAGCUUGCUCUUCUGGAUGAGUUGCGAACGGGUGAGUAACGCGUAGGUAACCUGCCUGGUAGCGGGGGAUAACUAUUGGAAACGAUAGCUAAUACCGCAUAAAAUUGAUUAUUGCAUGAUAGUCAAUUAAAAGGUGCAAUUGCAUCACUACCAGAUGGACCUGCGUUGUAUUAGCUAGUUGGUGAGGUAACGGCUCACCAAGGCAACGAUACAUAGCCGACCUGAGAGGGUGAUCGGCCACACUGGGACUGAGACACGGCCCAGACUCCUACGGGAGGCAGCAGUAGGGAAUCUUCGGCAAUGGACGGAAGUCUGACCGAGCAACGCCGCGUGAGUGAAGAAGGUUUUCGGAUCGUAAAGCUCUGUUGUAAGAGAAGAACGAGUGUGAGAGUGGAAAGUUCACACUGUGACGGUAUCUUACCAGAAAGAGACGGCUAACUACGUG